CACAGUCCUCUGCCAUUGUUGACCUAGGGUUCCGGCGGCCAGUAUUGAGAUUAGGCAACGAGGUGUUUUCCAGAUCAGAGCUUGGAUCUUCUCUUCUGUUCUUGAUUAUUUCCUUCCUUGCGGUGGAUUUAGGUCACGGUUGAGCAGCAAAGCUUUAAACUCCAG